GGGUCGAUGGCGUAGCUGGUUAUCGCAUCUGUCUAACAUCUUGAUCUCGUAUCUGCAAAAUGUGCACAGAAGGUCCUCAGUUCGAACCUGGGUCGACUCA